ensembl:lncRNA
AGCCAAUUAAUCUUUCAGUCAUUUCUACACCCCCCCCCCCCCCCCCCCCCCAAAAAAAGAAAAAAGAAAAAAAAAUCCACAUGCAUACUACCCUUCAGGGCUAAGCCCCGGGUGUUUCAAAUGUCUGGCUCCGCCUCUGAUGUAGAGUCCCCCUCCUCUGUUCGGUUUCACUUCCCGUAAACAGAAAGUAAACUUUGUGCGUGGGCGUGUUUGGAGCUGCAGGUGUGUCCAGGUGUGGGUUCGUUGGAUCAGCAGAGGAUUUAACGGGACUUUGUGUCGGUUUGAGUUGUUUUUAAAGGAGGAUGAAGACGCUGGUGGUGUUCCUGCUCCUCGUGAACGUUUCCCAGCAUGCCCUGGGUGUGGUGGUGGAGGUGGAUGAGGGGGAAAGAUCUGUCCUGCUGCCCUGUCAGUACUUUGGGUUUAUACCUGAGAAUCCCACAGUGAUGUGGACUCGCAGUGAUCUCCAUCCCAAAUCUGUCCAUGUGAGACAAGACGAAACAGACGAUCUCAGAGGACAAAACCAGCGUUACAGCGGGCGCACAUCAAUGAGACCUGAUGCUCUGGACACUGGAGACUUCAGCCUCACUCUGACAAAACCAACAAAGACUGACAGCAGCAUCUACACCUGCUCCAUCAGUGAUGGGAGAGAAGAACGGAGACUGAGAGAUAUCCAGCUGCAGGUCAAAGCCUUGCCUACUUUACAGUUCUUGGAACCCAUCAACACCAGUGUUCACUUGAUAGACAUAUCACCACACAUUGACGGGCUGAAAAAUGCGAUGGAAGAGUACAAGAGUACGAUAAAAGAGCUCAGUGGCUGUUCAAAAGCUACUGUCGCCGUGGGAGGGCUUAUUGCGACGUUGAUUGUGAUCGUUCUAGGGUUUAUGUAUAUAUGAUCGCCACUUGGCUUGUAUGUGUUUAUGUCAAGUGUGGAAAUAAAAGAAAAUAUAUCAUUGCUUACAUGGCUUUUAUUAGUGCCACUUUAUUAAAACUUUUAUUAAAUGUGGAGUUGUAAUUAUUUUUAUACAUAAAUUUAAAAUGCG